rnacentral:tRNA from 1 species
UGAUCGAAUACGCCGGCGAGGUGAUCCUGGCCCGCGACGCCAGGCCGGAACGUGAUCCGGGUCUGAUCCUGCGGGUUGCGGCCGCAUCGGCCAG